rnacentral:rRNA from 1 species
AAGAGUCCACAUCGACGGGGAGGUUUGGCACCUCGAUGUCGGCUCAUCGCAUCCUGGGGCUGUAGUCGGUCCCAAGGGUUGGGCUGUUCGCCCAUUAAAGCGGUACGCGAGCUGGGUUCAGAACGUCGUGAGACAGUUCGGUCCCUAUCCGUCGUGGGCGUAGGAAAUUUGAGAGGAGCUGUCCUUAGUACGAGAGGACCGGGAUGGACGCACCGCUGGUGUACCAGUUGUUCUGCCAAGGGCAUAGCUGGGUAGCUAUGUGCGGAAGGGAUAAGUGCUGAAAGCAUCUAAGCAUGAAGCCCCCCUCAAGAUGAGAUUUCCCAUAGCGUAAGCUAGUAAGAUCCCUGAAAGAUGAUCAGGUUGAUAGGUUCGAGGUGGAAGCAUGGUGACAUGUGGAGCUGACGAAUACUAAUAGAUCGAGGACUUAACUAUAUAA